GGAGGAAGAAGAGGAGGAGGAAGAGGAGGAGCGACGAAGAGGAGAGGCGCGUCACGUCGCUACUGCCGCAGCACCGUAACGUGCAAAGUCAGUUCGACGGCGGCGCCGCAUCGGACGACGUAUACGCUCGAGAGGACUCUCUAAAAUCUCGAUCACGAUUGAGAUAGUUAUAGCUUGACAGAAAACCGAAAAGAGAGACACUUUAUCAUAUAAUACGUAUUUGGAAA
rnacentral:lncRNA from 1 species